AAUGCAUUAAAACACAUUAUUCACCUUUUCAUUAAAAGGAAAGUUGACUGACACAGACAACAAUUAUGCCAAGUGGAACAACUUGACCCAAUCGUAAUAAUUCGGCCACCUCCGACAAGCUUCGAGAUAAUACAAUCGUAACAACUCGGCCUUGGCCGAACAAUCUGAACACCUCAGCCAGUAUCCAACAGGGAUUGACUAUCUCGAAGCUUACCGAAGAUGGCGAGUUGUUACAAUUGAUGGCCGAAAUGUUCCGAUUGUUGUAAAAUUGUGAACUGCAGCCUUGCAGGUGCCCUUCAUGUAUAUAUUGUUAUGUUUUGACAGAAUGAAAUGAAGAAAAAACCAUCAAACUCAUAAUUAUUUGCUUGAUAUUACUUUUUGGUUACGGAAUUUAUAUAAAAUAACAUUAUCUGAUUGAGAAGUGCCUGGAUACAAGGCUAGUAUUGUAAACAUCAUCUGAUACAAUCAACUGGAACAAAGCUGGAAUGGCUGCCUGACCUGACUUAAAAAUUGGAUGGCAGUACAUCAGACUAGAAGAUUACAAGUAUUGAGGUGGACAAAAUGAAACCUGAGCCUACCAAAGCUGACAGAUUGCACAAGAAACACAUAAAUGCAGAAACCAUAUUGAGGAGCUGGUCCACCUGUAGGAAGAAUUGCGCUAUUGGUUGGAACAGCACUAUUACCCAGCCAUACACCAGCACUUAGUUUGUCAUAGGGAGCAUUUCUGAGCAGUUAUGGAGACCACUAACUAUGCAGUUGUUGCAGUGAAACUUGCACCAGUGUGUUUUCUGUGGAGAUAAAGAGAUAGUGUCCAGCAAUGAAGACCCAACUCAAGAUCUGACCUUGUAAGGCCAAUAUGAAAUAACUGUUUGGGAAAAUGGGAAAAACCUGCAGUCAGGAAUGCACGGAAAUCAUCAAAAGAACAGUGUUAAAUUAAUCUUGAAUAACUUGACAUUUAUUUUGUUUGACAUAUUUAUUCAUGGUGCAGUGAAAACAUUCUUUUUUUCACAUGGUUAUUUAAAUUUAGA